GCAGGUUCGGGGUUCACUUCCUCACAUCUCCAUUUAAUAACUAUAUUUUAUCAGUACAGUACCGAGUGCAAGUAAAAAAGAAAUAGUCAACUAUAAAAAUAUAUAUAGUGAAUAAGUAAAUAAAAUUUAGGAUGUGCCUCAAUUGGUAGAGCAUUAUGAGCCUUACAAAGGUUGGGGUUAAACUAUACUUGCAUCUCCAUUCAGUAACUAUUUUUUUUUGUAUAUAAAAUUGACGUUAGGAGUGCCUGUAAAAAUAUAUAUGAUCAACUCACUAUAUAAAUUCACGUUAGGAGUUCAAGUAAAAAAGAAAAUGCUGCAAAAGGGCGUGUGGACUAAUGGUUACAAGAGCAACUCCAAAAGUUUGGCAAAAACUAUUAGCGAAAUUCUGUUAUUUAUCUAUUUUGUAAAAUAAAAAACUCUUCAAAAAAAGGUUCACAACAGUCUUACUAUAUUUUACAAAACCACAUAGCAAGUGCCCGUGUUGGCUAUAUAUGACCAAAAAAAACAAGGGAUAACCAGUUUCCUAUUUUACAAAGUCGGAUAGCACAUACGUUGGAGCCUAGUUUUUGCUAUACAAAUUCUAAAAUUGGUCGCAAUGGGAUGAGUGUGCGUGUGUUGUAUGGUCUAAUUCUAAAAAAAAGAAAAAUACUUAACUAUAAAAAUAUUUAUAAUGAACAAGUAAAUAUAAGUUGGGGAUGUAGCUCCAUUGUUAGAGCAUUAUGAUAAGCUUUCUAAAGGAUUGAGGUUUAACUCCUCAUAUCUCCAUUUAACUGUUUUCUGUUGAAUACACUAUUAACUCACUACAAUAAAAAUAAUUUUAGAAGACCACAAUUUUUAUGUUAAGAGGUAGAUCUUUUGAAUCACCUGA
rnacentral:lncRNA from 1 species